AGGCAGGGCCGGUGCAAGGAUUUUUGCCGCCCUAGGCAAAAGUAAAGUUUGCCGCCCCCCCAUAUGACAUCACAAUGCCCCAUUUUAACGAACGCAAGUGCUGCAGUGCCGCCGUGUUUACAUUAAAAGGCCUGCAGGGACAGGCUAUAGACACCAGAACCACUACAUUAAGCUGCAGACGUUCUGGGGACUAAAGUGUCCCUUUAAUGUGAGGUAAAUUAGAGCUUAGUGCCACGAAUAAUAUACUAGAUUGCCUACUUACAAUCAGAUGAGGAUGGUGAUGGGCUCUAGCUGCAGUCUGGCUCCACUCGUCUGGAGGCUGUUUGUGUUCUGGGAGAACGGGAAGCAGCUCCAUUUUUUGGGGGCCCUUUACACAGCUCAAGGUCUGGGCCCCAGGGUCCACCUUCAUGUUCCACCAAUUAUUUUGUUCACAGGAGUAGGGGAUGUCCUGAUAUGUGUGUAAGGAAUGCAUUGUGUGAAUCUGUGUUUGUAU